GUGGGCUUAUUUUAUCUCUAGCUUUCCUUUACUUCCCUUCCUUUAACUCUGACUGGCCCCAAGGCGGCUGCCGGGCUGAGCUCCCUGGGGCCCAGCCUCUCUCAGCCUUCUGUACCAUGUUUUAUGCAUGAACACUGUGGCGUGGUAAUUUAUUCGAGCAGAGCGGAUCCCUGAGCUCCUCUGUCAGAGGAGCCAACAGCGUCUGGGGGAGGGCAGGUGUGUCGGCUGGCACGGGAAGGACCUGAAAUGGGAAUACCUGUCUGCAGACUGCAACCGCAGGUUGGCCUCGCUCCUGGGACCCUAAGACACCUCACACUCAACCACACAAAAACUACAGAGUUCCGAAGACCUAGAAAUUGUGGCACUUGCCUUCCACCCCCAUUCAGCCACAUUCGCCGUGGCAACAACACGUUUGAGACUGGCCAUGCAUGACCUCGACGGUGGUCCAAGCGUAUCUUGUAGCAUCCGGAAAAUACAGAUGAGCUUUACAAAGGAAACGGAUGUUACCAGGCCGCCCAAACCCCUCACCCGAUAAAACCGCCCGCCCCGAGCCUCAAGCAUGGAUGUCAUGAUGGUUUGUCUUUUAAAAUGCUGUUCUCCUGUGCUUCGAAGACAAGAAGAGACUUUUCAGAGGUCCAAGCCCGCUCUUGGUCUAGCCAUUUAAAAAAAGGACUAAGAAUUGUCGGUGGCUAAAUCAGUGUGGUUGUCAAUAACUACCCUGCGUGGAUCAUUUCACCACCCCUGAAGCUACUCACUGCUACAUCCUGCUCGCUGUCUGUCACUUGGCUGAGGUCAGGACUCAACUAUGCAAAUCUGACAUGAGAGAAGACACAGGACUAUCUUCUGCCUUCUCUCCCUUCUUGGGUCCUGAAAAUUUGAAUAUGAAAAUGUGGUAUCAGAUCAAGACUUCUUUUCACUCCCAAACUUUCCUUCCUUCCUUCCUUCCUUCCUUCCUUCCUUCCUUCCUUCCUUCCUUCCUUCCUUCCUUCCUUCCUUUCCCUAUCUCUCUCUCCCUCCCUCCCUCCCCCCCUCUCUCAUUAACCCACACAUUUUCUAAUUGGACGAGUGUUGGCCACAUUCCUGACAUACACGGUUGACAAUAGCAGAGGAAGGACUCCCAAAGAGCAAGAUUGGCAGAGGAUAGCUCAGUCUGCAGAUAGGUCAGUGAAAGUUUCUUUCUUUUUUUUUUUUUUCUU